GAGAUUGCUUGAGGCCAAGAGUUGAAGACCAACCUGGCCAACAUAGACCCUGUGUCUUUUUUUUUUAAUAAAUUAAAAUAAAAAACUUUUAAAAAUAUCUCUUAAUCCUUUUAAAGUCCCACUUAGAGAUAAGGAAAUAGAGGAGCAGAAAGUUGAAAUAAUUUGCCCAAGUUUACACACAUCAACAAGUAGUGGAGUCAAGAUUCAAAUCCAGGCUGGGCACAGUGGCUCACGCCUGUAAUCCCAGCUCUUUGGGAGGCCGAGGUGGGUGGAUCACCUGAGUUCAAGAAUUCGAGAUCAGCCUGGCCAACAUGUUGAAACCCUGUCUCUACUAAAAAUACAAAUAUUAGCCAGGCACGGUGGUACAGGCCUGUAGUCCCAGUUACUCGGGAGGCUGAGGCAGGAGAAUUGCGUGAACCCAGGAGGCGGAGGUUGCAGUGAGCCGAGAUCACACCACUGCACUCAUCUGGGCAAUAGAGUGAGACUCCGUCUCAAAAAAAAAAAAGAUUCAAAUCUAGGUCUGUCCAAGUUCAUGAAUGUGAAUUUCUGGUUUGAACAAGAUGGGAUAAAGGUAGUAUUCAUCAUCUUCUCUUUCUGGAAAUUAGCCAAAAAACAAAAAGAGAUGCAAAGACAAAAUUCUCUUUCCUAGAAAGUAGAUAUGAUAGUCUAUUCCCCCAAAAUUAAUAUAUUGAAAUCCUAACCUCCAAGGUGAUGAUAUUAGGAAGUGGGGCCUUUGGGGGUGAUUAGAUCAUAAGGGCAGAGCCCUUGUAAAUGGGAUUAGUACCCUCAUAAAGCAGGCCCACGGGAACUCAUUUCUUCCUACCACCAUGUGAGAACAUGGUAAGAAGACAGCAUCUAUGAACCAGAAAGGGGGCCUCGCCAGACAUCAAAUCCGAUGGCAUCUUGAUCUCAGACUUCCUAACUCCAGAACUAUGAGAAAUUUCUGUGAUUUAUAAGCUACCCAGUUUAUAGCAUUUUGUUAUAGGAGCCCAAAUGGACUCAGACAGUAGGAAAUAGAUAAAACCCAGGUCCCCAAUUACUUGGAAGGGCUGCCGAAAGCAGUAAAGAUCAAGCAAGGGGGCAUGUGGGAGGAAGCAGAGAAGCAGAGAAAAGAGCCUACAGCCAGAAGACACAAUGGCUCUGUGUGUGUGUGUGUGUGUGUGUGUGUGUGUGUGUGUGUGUGUGUAAAGGGACUUAAGAAUUCCUGGCUGAGCCGGCCGGGCGCAGUGGCUCACGCCUAUAAUCCCAGCACUUUGGGAGGCCGAGACGGGCGGAUCACGAGGUCAGGAGAUCGAGACCAUCCUGGCUAACACGGUGAAACCCCGUCUCUACUAAAAAAUACAAAAAACUAGCCGGGCGAGGUGGCGGGCGCCUGUAGUCCCAGCUACUGGGGAGGCUGAGGCAGGAGAAUGGCGUGAACCCAGGAGGCAGAGCUUGCAAUGAGCUGAGAUCCGGCCACUGCACUCCAGCCUGGUGACAGUGAGACUCCGUCUCAAAAAAAAAAAAAAAAAAAA
rnacentral:lncRNA from 1 species